AGUUAUAUAGUUUAAUAAAAACAUUAAUUUUGUAAAUUAAAAUUAAAAUAUAUUUUUUUAUAACAA
rnacentral:tRNA from 1 species